rnacentral:rRNA from 1 species
GGUUAAGUGACUAAGCGUAUGUGGUGGAUGCCUUGGCAGUUAGAGGCGAUGAAGGACGUGUUAAUCUGCGAUAAGCGUUGGUAAGGUGAUAAAAACCAUUAUAGCCAACGAUUUCCGAAUGGGGAAACCCACCUGUCAUAAGGCAGGUAUCAUUAAGUGAAUACAUAGCUUAAUGAGGCGAACCGGGAGAACUGAAACAUCUAAGUACCCCGAGGAAAAGAAAUCAACCGAGAUUUCGUUAGUAGCGGCGAGCGAACGCGAAUCAGCCCUUAAGCUUAUUGGGCGCUAGUGGAAGGUUCUGGAAAGGACCACGAUACAGGGUGAUAGUCCCGUACACUAAAGCAACCUUUAAGUGAAAUCGAGUAGGACGGAGCACGUGAAACUUUGUCUGAAUAUGGGGGGACCAUCCUCCAAGGCUAAAUACUACUAACUGACCGAUAGUGAACCAGUACCGUGAGGGAAAGGCGAAAAGAACCCCUGUGAGGGGAGUGAAAUAGAACCUGAAACCGCAUACGUACAAGCAGUGGGAGCCAAAUUUAGUUUGGUGACUGCGUACCUUUUGUAUAAUGGGUCAGCGACUUAUAUUCUGUAGCAAGGUUAACCGAUUAGGGGAGCCGUAGCGAAAGCGAGUGUUAACUGCGCGUUUAGUUGCAGGGUAUAGACCCGAAACCCGGCGAUCUACCCAUGGGCAGGUUGAAGGUUGAGUAACAUCAACUGGAGGACCGAACACACGUAUGUUGAAAAAUGCGGUGAUGACUUGUGGGUCGGAGUGAAAGGCUAAUCAAGCCGGGAGAUAGCCGGUUCUCCCCGAAAUCUAUUUAGGUAGAGCCUCGGAUGGACACCACUGGGGGUAGAGCACUGUUAAGGCUAGGGGGUCAUCCCGACUUACCAACCCUUUGCAAACUCCGAAUACCAGUGAGUGAUAUCCGGGAGACACACUGCGGGUGCUAACGUCCGUUGUGAAGAGGGAAACAACCCAGACCGCCGCCUAAGGUCCCAAAGUACUAGUUAAGUGGGAAACGAUGUGGAAAGGCAUAGACAGCUAGGAGGUUGGCUUAGAAGCAGCCACCCUUUAAAGAAAGCGUAAUAGCUCACUAGUCGAGUCGGUCUGCGCGGAAGAUGUAACGGGGCUAAACUAGUCACCGAAGCUGCGGAUUCGAGCAUAUCACUAAGCUAUUUUAACUAACGUUAUUUUUCACAUGUUACUUUAUGUAAAAAAGUAAAAUAACGUUCAAGCAACCCGAACGUCAAUCGGUUGCGGGGUUAAAGUUGAGAUGAUUUAGAGAUAUGCUCGAGUGGUAGGGGAGCGUUGUGUAAGCCGUUGAAGGUGAAUUGAGAAGUUCUUCGGAGGUAUCACAAGUGCGAAUGCUGACAUGAGUAACGAUAAGGGGAGUGAAAAACUCCCCCGCCGAAAGACCAAGGUUUCCUGUCCCAUGUUAAUCAGGGCAGGGUAAGUCGGCCCCUAAGGCGAGGCGGAAACGCGUAGUCGAUGGGAAACAGAUUAAUAUUUCUGUACUUCUAUAUAUUGCGAAGGAGGGACGGAGCAGGCUAGGUGAGCACAGUGUUGGUAAUCUGUGUGAAAGUGCGUAGGCGGGAGUUUAGGUAAAUCCGGACUCCCUUAAGGCUGAGACACGAGACGAGACUCCAAGGAGUUGAAGUCAUUGAUGCCAUACUUCCAGGAAAAGCUUCUAAGCUUCAGAUAUAUAGGAACCGUACCCCAAACCGACACAGGUGGUUAGGUAGAGAAUACUAAGGCGCUUGAGAGAACUCGGGUGAAGGAACUAGGCAAAAUAGUACCGUAACUUCGGGAGAAGGUACGCCCUCAAUGGUGAUGGAAUUUACUUCCUAAGCGAUGGAGGGUCGAAGUAACCAGGUGGUCGGAACUGUUUAUUAAAAACACAGCACUGUGCAAAAUCGAAAGAUGACGUAUACGGUGUGACGCCUGCCCGGUGCCGGAAGGUUAAUUGAUUGGGUUAGUUUUCGGACGAAGCUCAUGAUCGAAGCCCCGGUAAACGGCGGCCGUAACUAUAACGGUCCUAAGGUAGCGAAAUUCCUUGUCGGGUAAGUUCCGACCUGCACGAAUGGCGUAAUCAUGGCCACACUGUCUCCACCCGAGACUCAGUGAAAUUGAAUUUGCGGUUAAGAUGCCGUAUACCCGCGGCUAGACGGAAAGACCCCGUGAACCUUUACUAUAGCUUGACAGUGAACAUUGCUCCUACAUGUGUAGGAUAGGUGGGAGACUUUGAAACUUCGUCGCCAGAUGGAGUGGAGUCAACCUUGAAAUACCACCCUUGUAUGCGUGAUGUUCUAACCUAGGGCCCUGAUCGGGCUUGGGGACACUGUCUGGUGGGUAGUUUGACUGGGGCGGUCUCCUCCCAAAGAGUAACGGAGGAGCACGAAGGUUGGCUAAGUAUGGUCGGACAUCAUACGGUUAGUGCAAUGGCAUAAGCCGACUUAACUGCGAGACAGACACGUCGAGCAGGUACGAAAGUAGGUCAUAGUGAUCCGGUGGUUCUGUAUGGAAGGGCCAUCGCUCAACGGAUAAAAGGUACUCCGGGGAUAACAGGCUGAUACCGCCCAAGAGUUCAUAUCGACGGCGGUGUUUGGCACCUCGAUGUCGGCUCAUCACAUCCUGGGGCUGAAGUCGGUCCCAAGGGUAUGGCUGUUCGCCAUUUAAAGUGGUACGCGAGUCGGGUUUAGAACGUCGUGAGACAGUUCGGUCCCUAUCUGCCGUGGGCGUUUGAGAAUUGAAGAGGGCUGCUCCUAGUACGAGAGGACCGGAGUGGACGAACCACUGGUGUUCGGGUUGUCAUGCCAAUGGCAUUGCCCGGUAGCUACGUUCGGAACUGAUAACCGCUGAAAGCAUCUAAGCGGGAAGCAGGCUUUGAGAUGAGUUCUCACUGGAGCUUUAAGCUCCCUAAAGGGUCGUUGGAGACUACAACGUUGAUAGGUCAGGUGUGUAAGGGUUGUAAGGCCUUGAGCUAACUGAUACUAAUUACCCGUGAGGCUUAACCAU